UACGUAGGGUGCGAGCGUUGUCCGGAAUUAUUGGGCGUAAAGAGCUCGUAGGCGGUCUGUCGCGUCUGCUGUGAAAUCCCGAGGCUCAACCUCGGGCUUGCAGUGGGUACGGGCAGGCUAGAGUGCGGUAGGGGAGAAUGGAACUCCUGGUGUAGCGGUGGAAUGCGCAGAUAUCAGGAAGAACACCGAUGGCGAAGGCGGUUCUCUGGGCAUGAUCUGACGCUGAGGAGCGAAAGUGUGGGGAGCGAACAGG
rnacentral:rRNA from 1 species